UCACGGUUUGCACCGGCAGUCUUGUUAGAGUUCCCACCAUUAUGUGCUGGCAACUAACAACAGGGGUUGCGCUCGUUAUAGGACUUAACCUGACACCUCACGGCACGAGCUGACGACAACCAUGCAGCACCUUGCAACUUGCCCGAAGGAGGAGGUGUUUCCACCCCUGUCAAGCUGCAUUUAAGCCCUGGUAAGGUUCCUCGCGUAUCAUCGAAUUAAACCACAUGCUCCACCGCUUGUGCGGGCCCCCGUCAAUUCCUUUGAGUUUCAUUCUUGCGAACGUACUCCCCAGGUGGGUUACUUAUCACUUUCGCUUAGCCACUCAACCUUGCGGUCGAACAGCUAGUAACCAUCGUUUACGGCGUAGACUAC
rnacentral:misc_RNA from 1 species